UUCUAUUAGAUUUAAUUAAUAGUAAAAUCUGCUCAAUGAAAAAUUAAAUAGCCGCUAUUUCAGUGCUAAGGUAGCAUAAUCAUUUGUCUUUUAAUUAAAGACUAGAACAAAAGAUUUAACUUUUUAACUUAUUUAUUAAAAUUAAAUUUAUAAAUUCUCCUAAAUGUAAAAAGACAUUUAUAAAAAAGAAAGACGAUAAGACCCUAUCGAACUUUACUUUAGUUUAACUGGGGCAGUUAAUUAAUUAUCAUUUUAAUUACAAUAUAUAAUAAAAUGACCUAAUACAAUUAAUAGAAUGACUAAGUUACCGUAGGGAUAACAGCAUAAUAAGUUUUUAAAGAUCUUAUUUCAAAAAGAGAUUGUGACCUCGAUGUUGAUUAAUUUUCCAUAUUCUCGCAAUAGAAAAAAAUGUAAGUCUGUUCGACUUUUAAAAAAUUACA
rnacentral:rRNA from 1 species